rnacentral:lncRNA from 1 species
CUAAUCCACAAAGCAACAAAAGGCCUAAUCAAGAGUAUCGAAGAUGGCGGAGUGGACUCUGUGAUGGAAUGGGAAGUCGAUGAGGUGCUGAACUGGACAAACACGCUCAACUUCGAUGAUUAUAUCGCAAGUUGGAGAGAAACUGCUACAAGCAACUCUUCAGCUUACCUAAAAGAUGCCAAGCUUCAACGAAUACUACACGACCAUGGAGAAUGGUGUAUUUCACAGUACGUAUACGACAUGUACCAACCAACUCAGAGCGGUUGCUGUCUGUCCAUCUGGUUGUUUGGCACUUUUGGGUGUGUGGUGCCGCAGUGCAUGUAGGGUGCAUGAACGUCUUUGGUACUCUGACUUCUCUGGAGACACUCAGAAGUGACACUGCUGAGCCACACACCAGAUCCAUUCUGCCUGUCCUAAUUUGCUUUCCCCUAUAUUGACACACGCAUUGUGUUUGGUGUUUGAGAAUGUGCAUUGUUUAUAGCAUGACAGCAUCUUGUAGUUUUGAUGGCUUAACAUUUAAAGUUUUUUAAAUGUAUUCUUGAUACUGACUCUAAAUUUUAGAUGAAUAGUUGGCAAGUGUUUUUACCUA